UUUAUUACAUCAAAUCAGCCAACCCAAAUUAUUGUCCAACACAAGAUGAUAAACAAGAUAACAAUAACGUAAUAACAAUAACAACACCUCACGGGUUGGAGUAUAAGAACAACAAAAAAAUAAUUACAACAUAAAUAAAAGGAAUAGAUAGUUAGACAAGUGAAGGUAUAAUCUUAAGAACCCAAGAAUUUGGUGGACUUUUGGAUCCUUAACACUACACACGACAAACGCCUAACUCCUACGUUAAUACAAGAGGAACUUUACCUCCUCUAAACACCAACGUAUCAAGCCAACAUUGCAACACAAGUGAUAUCCACACUUGUUGCCCUCAUUUCGAUUUAGUGGCUAUUCCAAGCCCUACAACUAAAGGUGUUACAUUCCUCGCACUAGAGAGAGUUUGUUACAAUGUUUCAAGUCUUACGUCAAUAAACAACUAAAGAGUAAAAGCCCUAAUACUAAACUAUAUAUAGUCUUAUUACAAUUGAAGGGCAAAAAGACCAAAACACCCUUAAUGAAGGGUGGGUGCCUAUGGAGUGUAAAUUGGACAUGUGAAAUCCCUAAAACAUGCUUAAUGAAGGUACUCUUCAAUGCUCCAAGGCCGUGGUUCUUCAAGCAUCCCCCAAGCCACCUUUCACACGCGGCUUUGCCUCAUGGAAUGCUCGAAAUGACCUUUCCAUGCAUGCUCUCUUCCCCUCAAUGUGAUCACAACCGGAUCCUUUGCAUGUUGGCCUCGAAUGAUGUCUUCCAAAACUAGGAUGGCCACUUGGCUCGUAUCAAAAAGGCUAGAAAGAUAUUCCAAAAAUUAUAAUAAGGAUUUAAAGUUGGUGGAUUCCUUGUAUUAGAUAAAAAUAAAACAAAGUAGUAACUAAGGGAAUUUGAACCCAUAACCAAGACAUCAAUGACUUUUCCAAGUCCCUCUGCUCCACUGAACCAAUAACACACUUCGUUUAUUGGGUACCAACUUAUAAUUUUUAUAUAUUUAUUAGAUUGCUCUAUAUAAAUAUAACAUCCACACAAAAAUUAGUUGAGUUUCCGAAAAACCCCACGCUGCUCCUAGAUCCUCCCCUUAUUGUAGUAGUAUAGAUAAAGAUAAAAAUGGGGCUAGAAUAAUUAUUAAAGCUAAAACAAGUGGGGAAGGGAUAAACAUAAUAAAUUUCACCAUUUUAGAGUUAAUUCCUCCGUAUCCAACUCUUUUCAAUAUUAUUAAAAAUUUUGAAAAAUCUGAUAUCUCGAAUGUUGAUCCCAAUACAUUGCAUUGUCCAAAAAUUUAAAAUCUCGAAUACAUUACUAAAUGUCGAAUACUACUAGAUUACGGAUAAUUAAUCACCAUCUCUCAAAUCAUAACCAACGGCUUUCUGUAUGAUUAUUUUUUUUCUUUGUUUUGCCAAUGUUUAGGCCCCCUCUUCCCUCUUUCGGGAUUUCUCUUACUCAACUCAGUCCUAUCGUCCCGACGGCGAAUCUAUGCAUUUAACUCCCCAUCAAAUUAUGCAGAAGAAGGGCGUAAUUGGGGAGACCUUCUGCUACCCAAGAUCUAUAACUAAGAUCGGAAGAUUUAAUUAAGAAGAGGAAGGUAGAAAGGUGAAGGAAGAUAUUGAAAGGAAGGAAUUAGAUUUGGAAAAAGACUACUUAAAUUUGUUUGUAUUGUAUUUGUUUCUUUUUAUGGUUACAAAUGUACAAGACUCUCCCUAUUUAUACUAGCAAACUUUAUCCACUACAAUGCUCUAGAAUAUCUAGAUUAUUUCUUCAAGAUAAUUAUCUAAAUAUUUAUACUAAUACAUUCUAGAUAAAUCUAUACUUUUCCAAAAAAAUCAUCUUUAGCUUUUUCCACAAUAUAUUAUUAUGAAAUCUAGUAUACAUGCGUUAGUAAGGUGGUUGUUAUGUAUCAUGAUCAUAACUAAUUCAUCUGAAAUCUUGGAUAUAUUGCGUUGGUCCCGAUACAUAGCACAACUUGAAGUCAGAGAAGUUCUAAAGGGCAAGAAAAUUGUUAUGAUAGGGCAGAAAAUAAGCAAACCACAAGCAAAGGAAAAACAAGAACACACAGAUUUACGUGGAAACUCUUGCGGGAAAAACCACGGGCAUAGGCAAAGGAGGUUUCACUAUAAUGAAGAGAGAAUACAAUGUUGGAGAUAAUAGUCUCAAUUUCGUGUAUGUCAGAGUGACCCGAAACAACCCACUAAAUCGCACUUAUAUAAUACAUGCGUACAAAUAGGUCCUAGGCCCAAAACAUAAAGAUCCAUACUACGCUACCACUACAGACAAACCUCAUUGAAAAUCACAAACAUGGGUCGCACCGCGAAACUUUCAGGGCCAAAUCUACAAAAUUCGGGUCACAACUCUAACAAAAAUAGUAUAGUUGAAGAUACUGAUAUAGCAGAGUUGAAAUAUCUAAAUAAUUAAAGAAUCAUUAAGGUUGCACCCUCCUAAUCCUCCCAAGGGAAUGCAGAGAAGAAACAAGAAUUGGAAACUACACAAUACCCAUCAAAAGCAAAGUCCUGGUGAAUGCAUAUGGGCAAUUAGAAGAGAUUCUAAAGUUUGGAAUGAUUCAGAAAGUUUUGUCCCAGAGAGAUUUGAGAAUAGUUCUACUGAUUUUCGAGGAAAUCAUUUUGAAUAUAUUUCCUUUGGUGCAGGAAGAAGAAUGUGUCCAGGAUUGAUAUUUGGUUUGCUGAGCGUAGAAUAUACUUUAGCUGAGUUUAUACUUCGAUCGGAAAACUCCUAAUGGGAUCACUGCAGAUAAUCUCGACAUGACGGAAACAGAUGUAGUAGUUGCAAGAAAAAAAGGAGGAUCUUUGUUUAGUUGCUACUCCUUUUGAUCUCACUUAAUAGUAGAAAUGAACUUAACAACUUUGUUCCUUUGCUUUAAGUACUUUACAUUUCACUGAUUGCAACUUGUUUAUCAGCCAGUGAUGAAUAUUUACAUCAAGUCUUAAAUUAGCAAUGCUUAAGAUUUGCCUAUUAUGGAUAUUAUGUUUUCUCUAUGAAAAGUAUUUUAAGAACUGUAAAGUAUUGUGUUCUUUCAUGCCAUGUAUCUUCUUUUAGUAUAUAUAUGUUGGGUUCGAAUCCAUCUUAUAAUAAUUCAUAACUCACAUCGUUUUCAAAUUAGUGCUCCUUUGGGUGUAUAGAUAAAAGCUCACUAUCAUUUUAGUGAUUUUGUGGAUUUAGCUUCUUGAAAUUUCAUAAUAAUUUGUUGCUUCUUAGAGCACUUUUGCGUGCCUCAAUAAACCUAAAUUUUAAAUGUUAUUGAACUAAGGCUACUAACGUUACACGUUAGUCCCUUCUUUUCGAAAUAAGUAAAUUAUUGCGGUAUUUAUUGGUAUUUCAAAAUAAGUAAAUCAUUAAAUUUUUUUUUUAAAUUUACCCUUAUAAUUUGACAAACAAUUAAUUUUGAAAAGAUCUUUUUUAGGGAUAAAAAUAAAAAAUUGUGUUAAAUUUAUUUCUUUAAUAUUUUUUUCUUAAUUUGUGUAUCAAAAUUCAAAAAUUCAUUUAUUAUGAAAUGAAGGGAGCAUUAACCACAUACUAAAUAACGGAUGAGAGUUUGCGCACACCACAACAAAUCAAAAGUUUUCCCCAAGUUUUCCCGCUCUCAGCUUCGUCGUUCCUCUCAAGUUUCUUAUCCUGUUGAAGGUUUAUGAAUCGUUUUCCCCAAAAGACCACCUUACCUGAUCUCAGUUCAAUCUUCAAUCUUACAAAAAUUUGCUACCUCCCAUCAACAACUUUUUCUAACAAAAUAUUGAAUAAAUUGAACUAAAACUUGCUUAUUCGACAAGCAGAGAUGUGAAGAGUCUCAUUUCAGUGAUUAGCUCCAUGCCUAACUCAUUAUAAUCAACUUACCAGGCAAAAUUUUUUGGUUUACAAGUUCUGUAACUUUAAGGUCAGCAUUUGGAAAAAAAGUCCAUGGCCAAGAUAAGUUGAUAAAGGAUAUCUCAUCAUUGUUCUGUUUACCAUUGUUAACAUAUAAAUAAGUCCUUUCACCUGGUUAAUACUACUACUUUUGAAUAACAAAAUAGAGUGUAAAUCACAAAAAAUAAAUUUACUUUUUAGUUUCAGGGUUUCAACGAGCACGUUUGAGUAAGAAAUUUUCACAAUUCUGGAAAUUUCAUUACUAUUAGUUGCUUCUUAGAGCACCUUUAUGUGCCUCACUGAAUUAGUGAAAACAAAAAGAGUCUUGUUGUGUACUCCCUUCAUUUCGGAAUAAAUAAAUUGUUGAAUUUUGACACACAAAUUAAGAAAAAAAUAUUAAAGACAUAAAUGUAACACUCCUUUCAUUUUUACCCAUAAAAAGAAAAAGCUGACCUUGGUAAUGACUUUUCAUUUUUACCCAUAAAAAGAAAAAGCUGACCUUAGUAAUGACUUUUUAAAAGUUAAUUGAUUGUCAAAUUAAACACUAAUUUUGAAACACCAAUAAAUAUCCAACAAUUCAUUUAUUACGAAACUGAGCAAUAAUUCAUUUAUUACGGAAGAAAGAGAGUAUCUAUCAUGUUUUCACAUAAUCAAUCCUGAAAUUUGAAUUUCACUGACUGUGCCAUGUGUUGGAACUCAACUAAUUUUAACUUUCAAAAUUUUUAAAAAAAAAAAAAAAAAGUGAAAGGAUUUAAGAGCCUAUUAGUGCACAAGCCGUAAUAAAGAACGACACAUGCAAGCAUAUAAACUCACGCCGGAAUGGCUUGUUAUCGGCAGCACAAAUGGCUGAUUGCGCUAUUUUUGUUUCUCAAAGCGCAGUUUGCACACUCAUUGCCUUUUCUAUAACACAUCAGUACUAUUUUUUUUCUCAAUGCAAGCGUUUGGACAUGCGAUUUCAUAUCAAUAUUUCAAAUCGUCGUAAAAUAAUCAUUGCAAUAUAAAAAUUAUUUACUUACAUUAGAGAAUAGAGACGAUGGCCGGCAGGAGGAGAAGAAGAUCAAAUUACUGGGAACGAUAAGAUGGAUUUGAGAUUUUAUAAGGAUGAAAAGAGCCCUAGUUUUUAUUUGGGCUUAAUGGGCCUUUGUCUUAAGUUAGUUCAGGU
rnacentral:lncRNA from 1 species